UGGGGAAUAUUGCACAAUGGGCGCAAGCCUGAUGCAGCCAUGCCGCAUGUGUGAAGAAGGCCUUCGGGUUGUAAAGCACUUUCAGCGAGGAGGAAGGUGGUGAACUUAAUACGUUCAUCAAUUGACGUUACUCGCAGAAGAAGCACCGGCUAACUCCGUGCCAGCAGCCGCGGUAAUACGGAGGGUGCAAGCGUUAAUCGGAAUUACUGGGCGUAAAGCGCACGCAGGCGGUUUGUUAAGUCAGAUGUGAAAUCCCCGGGCUCAACCUGGGAACUGCAUUUGAAACUGGCAAGCUAGAGUCUCGUAGAGGGGGGUAGAAUUCCAGGUGUAGCGGUGAAAUGCGUAGAGAUCUGGAGGAAUACCGGUGGCGAAGGCGGCCCCCUGGACGAAGACUGACGCUCAGGUGCG
rnacentral:rRNA from 1 species